rnacentral:tRNA from 1 species
GCCUGAUUAACUCAGCGGACAGAGUGCUUGGCUUCGAACCAAGUGGUCGGGAGUUCGAAUCUCUCAUCAGGCG